rnacentral:rRNA from 1 species
GACAGAGGUGCCGAGCGUUAGGCGGAAUCACUGGGCUUAAAGCGUGUGUAGGCGGGUCGUUAAGUGUCUUGUGAAAUCCCCCGGCUCAACCGGGGAAUGGCUGGGCAUACUGGCGAUCUUGAGCAGUCCAGGGGCAGAUGGAACAAGUGGUGGAGCGGUGAAAUGCGUAGAUAUCACUUGGAACGCCAACGGUGAAAACAGUCUGCUGGGGACUAGCUGACGCUGAGACACGAAAGCCAGGGGAGCGAACGGG